GAUGAACGCUCGCUACAGGCUUAACACAUGCAAGUCGAGGGGAAACGGCAUUGAGUGCUUGCACUCUUUGGACGUCGACCGGCGCACGGGUGAGUAACGCGUAUCCAACCUUCCCAUUACUGUGGGAUAACCUGCCGAAAGGCAGACUAAUACCGCAUAGUCUUCGAUGACGGCAUCAGAUUUGAAGUAAAGAUUUAUCGGUAAUGGAUGGGGAUGCGCCUGAUUAGCUUGUUGGCGGGGUAACGGCCCACCAAGGCUACGAUCAGUAGGGGUUCUGAGAGGAAGGUCCCCCACAUUGGAACUGAGACACGGUCCAAACUCCUACGGGAGGCAGCAGUGAGGAAUAUUGGUCAAUGGACGGAAGUCUGAACCAGCCAAGUAGCGUGCAGGAUGACGGCCCUAUGGGUUGUAAACUGCUUUUGUAUGGGGAUAAAGUUAGGGACGUGUCCCUAUUUGCAGGUACCAGACGAAUAAGGACCGGCUAAUUCCGUG
rnacentral:rRNA from 1 species